rnacentral:rRNA from 1 species
CCUACGGGAAGCAGCAGUGGGGAAUAUUGCACAAUGGGGGGAACCCUGAUGCAGCGACGCCGCGUGGGUGAAGGAGUAUCUCGGUAUGUAAAGCUCUAUCAGCAGGGAAGAACAUUGACGGUACUUGACUAAGAAGCACCGGCUAAAUACGUGCCAGCAGCCGCGGUAAUACGUAUGGUGCAAGCGUUAUCCGGAUUUACUGGGUGUAAAGGGAGCUCAGGCGGCCCGUUAAGCCGGGUGUGAAAGCCCGCGGCCCAACCGCGGGACUGCAUUGGAAACUGGGGGGCUGGAGUGCCGGAGGGGUAGGCGGAAGUCGUAGUGUAGCGGUGAAAUGCGUAGAUAUUAGGAGGAACACCAGCGGCGAAGGCGGCCUACUGGACGGUAACUGACGCUGAGGCUCGAAAGCGUGGGGAGCAAACAGGAUUAGAUACCCGAGUAGUC